CCUACGGGAGGCAGCAGUGGGGAAUAUUGCACAAUGGGGGAAACCCUGAUGCAGCGACGCCGAGUGAGGGAAGAAGGUUUUCGGAUUGUAAACCUCUGUCCUUGGUGAAGAUAAUGACGGUAGCCAAGGAGGAAGCUACGGCUAACUACGUGCCAGCAGCCGCGGUAAUACGUAGGUAGCGAGCGUUGUCCGGAAUUACUGGGUGUAAAGGGAGCGUAGGCGGGAUUGCAAGUUGAAUGUCAAAUCUACGGGCUUAACCCGUAGCCGCGUUCAAAACUGCAGUUCUUGAGUGAAGUAGAGGCAGGCGGAAUUCCUAGUGUAGCGGUGAAAUGCGUAAAUAUUAGGAGGAACACCAGUGGCGAAGGCGGCCUGCUGGGCUUUAACUGACGCUGAGGCUCGAAAGCGUGGGUAGCAAACAGGAUUAGAUACCCUGGUAGUCC
rnacentral:rRNA from 1 species